GGGUUGUGAGGUUAAGCGACUAAGCGUACACGGUGGAUGCCUAGGCAGUCAGAGGCGAUGAAGGGCGUGCUAAUCUGCGAAAAGCGUCGGUAAGGUGAUAUGAACCGUUAUACCCGACGAUACCCGAAUGGGGAAACCCAAUGUGAUACGUCACAUUAUCGCAUGGUGAAUACAUAGCCAUGCGAGGCGAACCGGGGGAACUGAAACAUCUAAGUACCCCGAGGAAAAGAAAUCAACCGAGAUUCCCCCAGUAGCGGCGAGCGAACGGGGAACAGCCCAGAACCUGAAUCAGUUUAUGUGUUAGUGGAAGCGUCUGGAAGGUCGCACAGUAUAGGGUGAUAGUCCCGUACACAAAAAUGCAUAGGCUGUGAGUUCGAUGAGUAGGGCGGGACACGUGACAUCCUGUCUGAAUAUGGGGGGACCAUCCUCCAAGGCUAAAUACUCCUGACUGACCGAUAGUGAACCAGUACCGUGAGGGAAAGGCGAAAAGAACCCCGGCGAGGGGAGUGAAAUAGAACCUGAAACCGUGUACGUACAAGCAGUGGGAGCCUACUUUGUUGGGUGACUGCGUACCUUUUGUAUAAUGGGUCAGCGACUUAUAUUUUGUAGCAAGGUUAACCGUAUAGGGGAGCCGUAGGGAAACCGAGUCUUAACUGGGCGUCAAGUUGCAAGGUAUAGACCCGAAACCCGGUGAUCUAGCCAUGGGCAGGUUGAAGGUUGGGUAACACUAACUGGAGGACCGAACCGACUAAUGUUGAAAAAUUAGCGGAUGACUUGUGGCUGGGGGUGAAAGGCCAAUCAAACCGGGAGAUAGCUGGUUCUCCCCGAAAGCUAUUUAGGUAGCGCCUCGUGAACUCAUCUUCGGGGGUAGAGCACUGUUUCGACUAGGGGUCCAUCCCGGAUUACCAACUCGAUGCAAACUACGAAUACCGAAGAAUGUUAUCACGGGAGACACACGGCGGGUGCUAACGUCCGUCGUGAAGAGGGAAACAACCCAGACCGCCAGCUAAGGUCCCAAAGUCAUGGUUAAGUGGGAAACGAUGUGGGAAGGCAUAGACAGCCAGGAUGUUGGCUUAGAAGCAGCCAUCAUUUAAAGAAAGCGUAAUAGCUCACUGGUCGAGUCGGCCUGCGCGGAAGAUGUAACGGGGCUAAACCAUGCACCGAAGCUGCGGCAGCGACGCUUAGGCGUUGUUGGGUAGGGGAGCGUUCUGUAAGCCGUUGAAGGUGGUCUGUGAGGGCUGCUGGAGGUAUCAGAAGUGCGAAUGCUGACAUAAGUAACGAUAAUGCGGGUGAAAAACCCGCACGCCGGAAGACCAAGGGUUCCUGUCCAACGUUAAUCGGGGCAGGGUGAGUCGACCCCUAAGGCGAGGCCGAAAGGCGUAGUCGAUGGGAAACAGGUUAAUAUUCCUGUACUUGGUGUUACUGCGAAGGGGGGACGGAGAGGGCUAGGCUAGCCGGGCGACGGUUGUCCCGGUUUAAGCGUGUAGGGGGUGUGACUUGGUAAAUCCGGUUGCAUAUCAACCCUGAGGCGUGAUGACGAGCCACUACGGUGGUGAAGUAGUUGAUGCCGCACUUCCAGGAAAAGCCUCUAAGCAUCAGGUAACAUUAAAUCGUACCCCAAACCGACACAGGUGGUCAGGUAGAGAAUACUCAGGCGCUUGAGAGAACUCGGGUGAAGGAACUAGGCAAAAUGGUGCCGUAACUUCGGGAGAAGGCACGCUGUCGCUAGGUGGAGGAACUUGCUUCCCGAGCUGAAGACAGUCGAAGAUACCAGCUGGCUGCAACUGUUUAAUAAAAACACAGCACUGUGCAAACACGAAAGUGGACGUAUACGGUGUGACGCCUGCCCGGUGCCGGAAGGUUAAUUGAUGGGGUUAUCCGCAAGGAGAAGCUCUUGAUCGAAGCCCCGGUAAACGGCGGCCGUAACUAUAACGGUCCUAAGGUAGCGAAAUUCCUUGUCGGGUAAGUUCCGACCUGCACGAAUGGCGUAAUGAUGGCCAGGCUGUCUCCACCCGAGACUCAGUGAAAUUGAACUCGCUGUGAAGAUGCAGUGUACCCGCGGCAAGACGGAAAGACCCCGUGAACCUUUACUAUAGCUUGACACUGAACAUUGAGCCUUGAUGUGUAGGAUAGGUGGGAGGCUUUGAAGCGUGGACGCCAGUCUGCGUGGAGCCAACCUUGAAAUACCACCCUUUAAUGUUUGAUGUUCUAACUCGGCCCCGUAAUCCGGGGUGAGGACAGUGUCUGGUGGGUAGUUUGACUGGGGCGGUCUCCUCCUAAAGAGUAACGGAGGAGCACGAAGGUUAGCUAAUCACGGUCGGACAUCGUGAGGUUAGUGCAAUGGCAUAAGCUAGCUUGACUGCGAGAGUGACGGCUCGAGCAGGUACGAAAGUAGGUCAUAGUGAUCCGGUGGUUCUGAAUGGAAGGGCCAUCGCUCAACGGAUAAAAGGUACUCCGGGGAUAACAGGCUGAUACCGCCCAAGAGUUCAUAUCGACGGCGGUGUUUGGCACCUCGAUGUCGGCUCAUCACAUCCUGGGGCUGAAGUAGGUCCCAAGGGUACGGCUGUUCGCCGUUUAAAGUGGUACGCGAGCUGGGUUUAGAACGUCGUGAGACAGUUCGGUCCCUAUCUGCCGUGGGCGUUGGAAGAUUGAGAGGGGCUGCUCCUAGUACGAGAGGACCGGAGUGGACGCAUCACUGGUGUUCGGGUUGUCAUGCCAAUGGCAUUGCCCGGUAGCUAAAUGCGGAAAAGAUAAGCGCUGAAAGCAUCUAAGCGCGAAACUUGCCUCGAGAUGAGUCUUCCCUGGGACUUCGAGUCCCCUGAAGGGACGUUUAAGACUAAGACGUUGAUAGGCUGGGUGUGUAAGUGCAGCGAUGCAUUGAGCUAACCAGUACUAAUGACCCGAGAGGCUUAACCUUACAACACCGAAGGUGUUUUAG
rnacentral:rRNA from 1 species